rnacentral:tRNA from 1 species
UCCCCAGUGGCUCAGAUGGUAAAGCAUCUGCCUGCAAUGCAGAAGACCCAGGGUUGAUCCCUGGGUCGGGAA